rnacentral:pre_miRNA from 1 species
AGCUUUCUGAAUCGGUGACGAGAUUUUGCCAGACAUUAAGCUAUAAGUAAUGAUGAGACUUCCAAGAUAAGUGAAGCU